UCCCUCUCAAGAAAACCCCCUACCUCUCUCUCUCUCUCUCUAAAGAAAAAACCCACGUGCGCUUGUGAAUUAGCCAGCAAGAUGUGGUGUGAUGAAUGUGCAAAAACAACUCAUACGCACAAAUUUAUUUCAAAAUUUAAGGGAUUUUUCAGCCUUACAAGAUAGUAAUUGCUAUUUGCAAUUAUGGUUUUCUUUUUCUCGUUUUUUGAUAUAUUGUCAAUAUUUCUGAUACAUUUUGUUUCCUUGGUGUGAAAUUUAUGGAAAAUGAAUAAGAUUGGAUAUUGUUGAAUCGAAGGGGUGAUUGGAUUAGUGGCAGCUAUUAACUAUAUUUGAAUAUUGUAUAUUUGAUUGUAUUUAUUGGAUUAAUGGCAGUUGAUGAACAACAUUGUAUGUGAUUCUAUUUCUCUGAUGAUUGUAUUUUAUUUGAAGGGCUGAUUGAUUUUUAUUUGAAGAGUGGUUCUUACAGCUCGUAUGAAUGAUUUUUCAAGUGUUUUAUGUAUGUUUUGGUUGUUCGCAAACUCUUAUUAUGUUUGUUGCUAAAUUCUUAUUCAGCUCAACAAACUCUUGAGCUAAUGGCACAACUAUAGUUGUAGACUUCUAGUCAUUGUCAAGUAUCAUAACUUCUGCUGCAAGUGAAAUGGGCGUAAUGUAAAAUGAAUGAUACAAUGUAGAGAAAUAUCUCUUGGGGGCAAUAUUUUGAGCACAUGGUCUUCCAUUUUUUUUUUAUUAAUAUCUUGUUUAUAUUUUAGAUGUAAAAUAUUUGUUGAGCCGCCUUGCAGGUUUUUGUAUACAACAACCUAUUAGUGGGCUGCCUAACACUUGUAUUUGCGUUAGGCUCUAUAUUAAUACAACAAUGAACAUAUUAUAAUAAUAAGAAAAAAGAAGCAGUAGCCUAUGUGGGGAUAGAUUUUCCUUUUAUUUUUAUUGUGGGAGCUACUAAUUGGUUUCUUUAUAGCAUAUAUUUGCAUGCUAGUUACCUUGAUUAUUGUUUCAUGGUGUUAUUUUUUUGUAUUUGUAAAACUUACUGUGAUAAGUAUAGCCAUCUGGCAUUCACACCCGCCCUUCUUCUCCUUAUAAAAAGAAUGGUCAUAUGCUUCAUUACAUCUCCACAACUGUAGAUCAUUUUAUGUCUCUUUCUUUUUCUAUACAUGUAUGUAUUUUAUCUCAUGUAAUAUGUGCUCUCUUGGUAAUUAGUUUAUACAAUGUUGAUGAACUACUUGUGUUGGGAAUAACAAAGCCAGAUUUCAUUUGUUAAAAU
rnacentral:lncRNA from 1 species